rnacentral:rRNA from 1 species
UACGGAGGGUGCGAGCGUUGUCCGGAAUCACUGGGCGUAAAGGGCGCGUAGGUGGCGCGGGCAGUCAACGGUGAAAGUUCGGGGCGCAACCCUGAAUCGGCCGUCGAUACUCCCGGGCUUGAGCACUGUAGAGGCAGAUGGAAUUCCGGGUGUAGCGGUGGAAUGCGUAGAGAUCCGGAAGAACACCGGUGGCGAAGGCGGUCUGCUGGGCAGUAGCUGACACUGAGGCGCGACAGCGUGGGGAGCAAACAGG